AUCCUGACACAGGGAGGUAGUGACAAUAAAUAACAAUGCUCUGGCUCUUCGAGUCGGGCAAUUGGAAUGAGAACAAUUUAAAUCCCUUAUCGAGGAUCAAUUGGAGGGCAAGUCUGGUGCCAGCAGCCGCGGUAAUUCCAGCUCCAAUAGCGUAUAUUAAAGUUGUUGCAGUUAAAAAGCUCGUAGUUGGAUUUCUGCUUUGAGCGUCCGGUCCGCUCCUUUGGAGUGUGUUACUAGGAUGGUUGAGGCAUUUUUUGUGAGGACGCCCUUCUGCCAUUCAGUUGGUGGUUGGAUGGACUUGCAUCGUUUACCGUGAAAAAAUUAGAGUGUUUAAAGCAGGCGUUUGCUCAUUGAAUACAUUAGCAUGGAAUAAUAAGAUACGACCUUGGUGGUCUAUUUUGUUGGUUUGCACACCAGGGUAAUGAUUAAUAGGGACAGUUGGGGGUAUUCAUAUUGCAGCGUCAGAGGUGAAAUUCUUGGAUCGCUGCAAGAUGAGCUUAGGCGAAAGCAUUUACCAAGGAUGUUUUCAUUAAUCAAGAACGAAAGUUAAGGGAUCGAAGAUGAUUAGAUACCAUCGUAGUCUUAACCAUAAACUAUGCCGACUCGGGAUUGGCAGUCGUUUUUUUUAAUGACCUU
rnacentral:rRNA from 1 species